rnacentral:piRNA from 1 species
UCGAGGGGGUGGAGGGCAUGUCACAAGA